GUACUGUUAACGCAGUACAUAUACUAAAUUUGGAGCGAUACAGAGAAGGUUAGCAUGCCCCCCCCCCCCCUUGCGCAAGGUUGACACGCAAGGGGGCAUAAACAAUAUUAAU
rnacentral:snRNA from 1 species